rnacentral:rRNA from 1 species
AUUGAACGCUGGCGGCAGGCCUAACACAUGCAAGUCGAACGAGUGGCGGACGGGUGAGUAAUGUCUGGGAAACUGCCCGAUGGAGGGGGAUAACUACUGGAAACGGUAGCUAAUACCGCAUACCAUCGGAUGUGCCCAGAUGGGAUUAGCUAGUAGGCGGGGUAACGGCUCACCUAGGCGACGAUCCCUAGCUGGUCUGAGAGGAUGACCAGCAACACUGGAACUGAGACACGGUCCAGACUCCUACGUGAGGCAGCAGUGGGGAAUAUUGCACAAUGGGCGCAAGCCUGAUGCAGCCAUGCCGCGUGUAUGAAGAAGACCUUCGGGUUGUAAAGUACUUUCAGCGAGGAGGCGUUACGCGCAGAAGAAGCACCGGCUCACUCCGUGCCAGCCGCCGCGGUAAUCC